UUCUGAUGGCUCCUUUUUGGCCACAGGGAAUGAGGGAGAAAAGAGGGACUGUGCACCUUCAAACUAAAUGACAGGAACUGUAUUCAGUUCACCCUGGUGGAGUGGCUGACAUCCAGCAGUGUGAAAAUAUAGGAGAUGACGAUCCAUUCCUGGGUGGAGGGCCAGCGCUCCAUCUUCACCAGCACGAUGUAGUUGAAGAGCAUGAGGUAUCCGAUGUACGCCAGCUAUGAGGGAACACAAGACAGGGCUCUGGCUGCGGAGGCCCCCGAGUGCUGGCCUCGGGCGAGGCCACUGCUGGGCAGCCUAGGGCAAGCCAAGAUGUGUGUUUCCUAAGGGAUGAAAUGCAAGCACGGACGCCUGGCACAUUUUGCUGUGGAUCCUUGGGCUGUUCCCUACUGUCUUCCUGGGCUGGGC